UACGAAGGGUGCAAGCGUUACUCGGAAUUACUGGGCGUAAAGUGUGCGUAGGCGGUUUGUUAAGUCCGCUGUGAAAGCCCUCGGCUCAAACUGGGAAUUGCAGUGGAUACUGGCAAGCUAGAGUGCGGUAGAGGAUGGUGGAAUUCCCGGUGUAGCGGUGAAAUGCGUAGAGAUCGGGAGGAACACCCGUGGCGAAGACGGCCAUCUGGACCAGCACUGACGCUGAGGCACGAAAGCGUGGGGAGCAAACAGG
rnacentral:rRNA from 1 species